GUCCUCUGUGCAUCCUGAUACUGGUGAUGUAAUUACGUUUCUAUUUAGACCACCAGUCCUCCUGCCUAUAACUUUUCUACUGGUGUUAUGGCUGCAAUGAAUGCAAGUUCUGUCAGAAAGACCAGGAUGGACAAAGGAAUUGAAGUGCUGGACAAAAAUGGCAAAGUAGUAGGAGUGUCAUGGAAAGCUGGAGACAAGUAAAAGAAACAGCACUAUCCAGAGGAGUCUUGCUUGGGACAGCACUAAUUUCCCAAAGUCAUUCUACACUUUAUAAAAUGCUUCCCACCUCUGCAAUGAAUGAAGCAAAGGUUCCUACAGUCAAGUCUGAAUCACUAUGCAACGCUAAAUCAGUCCCAGAGUAAGUCAACCCCGGGCACUAAAUGAACAAAGAAUGUGGAAAGACAAUAUGGGAUGAUGCAAUUACAGAUUGCAUGAUACAACAUGCACCAGGAGUCCAAAUGAAGGCUACCUCUGCUAAAUUCAUUCUGGAGAUACCCAACUU